UCAAAUCAUCAUGCCCCUUAUGAUUUGGGCUACACACGUGCUACAAUGGACAAUACAAAGGGCAGCGAAACCGCGAGGUCAAGCAAAUCCCAUAAAGUUGUUCUCAGUUCGGAUUGUAGUCUGCAACUCGACUACAUGAAGCUGGAAUCGCUAGUAAUCGUAGAUCAGCAUGCUACGGUGAAUACGUUCCCGGGUCUUGUACACACCGCCCGUCACACCACGAGAGUUUGUAACACCCGAAGCCGGUGGAGUAACCUUUUAGGAGCUAGCCGUCGAAGGUGGGACAAAUGAUUGGGGUGAAGUCGUAACAAGGUAGCCGUAUCGGAAGGUGCGGCUGGAUCACCUCCUUUCUAAGGA
rnacentral:rRNA from 1 species